CUAUUGCGCAGGCGCAGUGCCACUUACAGAGCAUGGAAGUGGUGGGCGUCCUGGGUUUGAUAGUGGUGGUCCUAGCAUCCGGUUUCUUCUGGGUUUGGGACUUCUUGGAACGAAUGAAGAGUCAGGAACAGGCAGGCCUGUUGGGAAGCGAAAGCCGGACCCUCCUGGUGAUCGCGCACCCGGACGAUGAAGCCAUGUUCUUUGCUCCUACUGUGCUAGGUUUGACCCGCCUGAGGCACCGAGUGUUCUUGCUCUGCUUCUCUGCAGGAAAUUACUACAAUCAAGGGGAGAUUCGUAAGAAAGAACUUCUGCAGAGCUGUGAUGUCUUGGGAGUUCCACCCUCCAGUGUAAUGAUUAUUGACAACAGGGAUUUCCCAGAUGACCCAGGUGUGCAGUGGGACACAGAGCAGGUGGCCAGCGUCCUCCUCCAGCACAUAGAAGUGAAUGGCAUUAACCUGGUGGUGACUUUCGAUGUGGGGGGCGUGAGCGGCCACAGCAAUCAUGUUGCUCUGUACGCGGCCGUGAGGACCCUGCACUCAGAAGGGAAGCUACCUAAAGGGUGCUCUGUGCUCACGCUUCAGUCUGUGAACGUGCUGCGCAAGUACAUCUCCCUUCUGGACCUGCCCUUUUCUCUGCUUCAUACCAGCGAUGUCCUCUUCGUGCUCACCGGCAAAGAAGUGGCACAGGCCAAGGGUUAUUCAAAUUGAGAUAAUGCAUGGAGACUGAGUGCUCUGGCUGCCGUUGGCUUCAUCUGCUAUUAUCACAAGGGAAGAGCCAUGUCCUGCCACCGCAGCCAGCUCCUGUGGUUCCGUCGGCUCUACGUGCGCUUCUCCCGCUACAUGAGAAUUAACUCUCUGCACUUCCUCUGAAGCCUGAAAGCCUUUUCAGAUCCAAGAAACUAAGGGAGAAAGAAGAACAGGAAGCCUGGGGACGUGGUCUAGAGCUGGCUUACCUCCCUGAGCCAAAGGAGAUCCCAACAUGGGUGGCCCCCCAGAACUCUGCUCAUUGGUGCUUGUUAGCCCCUAAUAAAAGGGGGGCCAUGCAGGCCAAUGGGCUAUGUAAACUUCAACUUCUUCCUCUGGGAAAAAAACUACAAUCCGAAACAAACCAACCGAAGGAUAAUAGCUACCCUGCUCGCUUCUCAAGUCCUUGUGAAAAAUAAUAUACAUGAUAACACAGUGUAUGUCAAACACCUAGCACAGAGUCUGCUAUUAUUAUAAAUGAAUGUAAAAGCACUCUAAAACCAUUUCCCAGAUGCAAUGAUGCAGUAUUUUUACAGUUUCCAAAGCAGGUUCACCAAACGCACGCAUGCAUACACUCAGGAACAGUCUAUGUUGACUUAGUUGAGCCCUAAUUCCUUUAUCUUUGUGGCCCAUGUAUCAGACUUGAAUCUAGAGAAAACUUGCUCUAUUUAACACCGGUCACUGACGGGGGCACUCGGGUUCCCAUCCUGUGCUGGGCAGUUUCACACAGAUGAGCCUGAUGUGGGCCGGUCCUCAGGGAGCUACAGUCAAAUACCUCAGCUCUCAGUCUUUGGGGAAAAGAGGGAAAUAACAAGAGAAAUCUGGACCCCCUUUUUUUUUUAAACACUCAAGAACCUGACACCUGAAAAUUGUGCUACAAACAAAAGCGCUCUGAGAGGUCUGGCUUAGAAGCUACUCUCAGAGUCCAGCUAAUGGUCCAGAGAAGUGGCCCGAGGCAGGGAGCUCAGUGGUCAAGAGCAACAGGCCCUAAAGACUGGUGAGCCUACGUGUGAGGCCAGAAUUAGCAGCAAAGUAACCCCAUGGCCGAGGUGCUUAACCUGUCUCUGCCUCAAUUCUCUCACGUGCAAAACCGGGACAAUAAUGUACCAACCUCAGAGGAGAUGAUGCCUGAAGGUGCAUGGUAAAGGGUCUGACAUGCAGUAAAGAAAGAUGAGCUGCAGGUAUUCUGAGACCUGAAGAAUAAGUAGGCAUUAAGCAAAGGGACUAGCUUAAGUAGAAGGCCUGAAACCGAAAAGACCUUGGUGUGCAUUGUUCCUGAGUACUCCAGGGGCCUGUCAGAUGCAGUGCUGAAUUGCUGUCUCCAUAACAGCAGGUUAGAGACCUGCUUGUUGGUUCUCCACCCAAAUUUGCUCCAAUGAUCUCGAAUGCUUCCUAGGGGCCAAAUAUGGCUGACAGAGUUAUCAGGCUCUGAAGCUGGAAUCAAAAAUGCAAAUCUGGCUGUAAUCUGUCUACUAAAAAUUUGUCAAUAGCUCCUAAUAAGCUUCAUGUGAGACUGUGACAAGAAAUAAGCCACGAACACUGGUUAGUGUGUGGUGGACUAGGCUGAAUCAUACCCGGUACAAGGAAUACAGACACUGACCCAGCCUUUCUGGACAGCAAUUCUCAGUAUGUGUUAAGGGCUUUCAAAAUAUACAUACUCUGUGGCCUAAGGAAAUAUUUUAAAAAUCAAAAUCCUAUACACAAAGAUCAUCACAAUAUUAUUUAAAAUAGCAAAAUUAGAAAAAUCCGGUGAUACAACCAUAUUUAGUAACAAGGAAAAAUGUUCAUGAUAUAUUAAAUUUUAAAAAGCAGGUUAGGAAUGGUACAAUCCAACUUUUGUCAAGCAUACAUACACGUAACUACCCUUUUUCCCCGUAAAUAAACCUAGCCGGACAAUCAGCUCUAACGUGUCUUUUGGAGCAAAAAUUAAUAUAAGAUUCAGUCUUAUUUUACUAUAAGACUGGGACUUUAAUAUAAUAUAAUACCGGGUCUUAUAUAAGACCAGGUCUUAUAUUAAUUUUUGCCCCAAAAGACACAUUAGAGCUGAUUGUCCAGCUAGGUCUUAUUUUCGCGGAAACACGUUAUGUGUGUGUGCACACUUGCAUCGAAGGCUAUCUAUAUAUCCAUAGGGUCAUCUUUCUACAGUGAACAUUUAUAAUUUUAAAGGAUUUUUGUUGUUUAUGAAUAGUUUUGAUGUGAGAAAAUACUUUUGAUAUAAUGUGAAGUUAAAAAAAUGUUUAACCAGUAUAAUUCCAAUUAUGUAAAGAAAUGAUUCAUUAAAGAAAAGCUAGCUGUUUAUACACUGCUGGUCCACGUAGAUGGUACAACCUCUGUAGAGGACAAGUUGGCAACUUCCUGUAAAGUUAAUAGCCCUUGGUCCAGCAUUUCCACUUUCAGUAAUUUACACUAUAGAUUUACUCAAGUGCCAAAAGAGGUAUGUAAAGGAUAGACAUUGAAACACUAUUUAUAAUAGUAAAAUACUGAACCAGUCCAAAUGUUUAUCAACUUAGGAUUGGUUAAAUAGUGGAUAAAACAGUAAAAUACCAUAAAGCUAUUUUAAAAAUAACAAGGCGAUGCACUGAUAUGGAAAGAUCCCUAAAGUAUUUUAUUAAGUGAAAAAAGCCAGAUGUGGAACAGUGUUAGUGAUUUCAACCAUUUGUGAGGGGGAAAAAAUAAAAGUCUACACAUCAAAUGUGGGUAAACAAAUAUUAUAUCUCUGGUAAUGGUGGGAGGAGGGGAAUGGGUACCUUUUGUCCCUUUUGAAUUUUGUACCAAGUGCAUACGUUACCUAUUCAAAAGUGUUUUUUAAAUCAUAGAUUAGAAAGAUGUGUAGGAUUAUAUCACUGGGAGUUGCUUCUGGGUAGUGCGACUUGAAACUUAUUUUCUGCUUCUUUUGUUUUACUGUACAUGCUGAUUAUUUUUUUAAAUAAAUUAAAAAUCUAGAUGGAAAAUGAAAAUACACUAACAUUUAUAUUUACUGAAUGCCUGGUGCUUGAUUCACCUGCAGCUACAGGCUCUACUCUGAGUCCCCAAAGGGAACAGGGCUAGGCUCUCCUUGGUGCCUGAAGAGAGCAAGGGACAGCAGCACAGGAAGGAAGGGUGCCCCUCAAGGCCGGCGGGGGCCACUAGCCCA